GAUGAACGCUGGCGGCGUGCCUAACACAUGCAAGUCGAGCGAUUCUCUUCGGAGAAGAGCGGCGGACGGGUGAGUAACGCGUGGGUAACCUGCCCUGUACACACGGAUAAAAUACCGAAAGGUAUGCUAAUACGAGAUAAUAUGCUUUUAUCGCAUGGUAGAAGUAUCAAAGCUUUUGCGGUACAGGAUGGACCCGCGUCUGAUUAAUUAGUUGGUAAGGUAACGGCUUACCAAGGCGACGAUCAGUAGCCGACCUGAGAGGGUGAUCGGCCACAGUGGAACGAGGAACCAGUCCAAACUCCUAGGGGAUGCAGCAGUGGGGAAUAUUGCACAAUGGGGGAAAGCCUGAUGCAGCAACGCCGCGUUAGCGAUGAAGGCCUUCGGGUCGUAAAGCUCUGUCCUCAAGGAAGAUAAUGACGGUACUUGAGGAGGAAGCCCCGGCUAACUACGUGCCAGCCGCCGCCGUAA
rnacentral:rRNA from 1 species